UGGGUGGAUCAGUGGCGAACGGGUGAGUAACACGUGAGCAACCUGCCCCUGACUCUGGGAUAAGCGCUGGAAACGGCGUCUAAUACUGGAUACGAACCGCGACCGCAUGGUCAGUGGUUGGAAAGAUUUUUUGGUUGGGGAUGGGCUCGCGGCCUAUCAGCUUGUUGGUGAGGUAAUGGCUCACCAAGGCGUCGACGGGUAGCCGGCCUGAGAGGGUGACCGGCCACACUGGGACUGAGACACGGCCCAGACUCCUACGGGAGGCAGCAGUGGGGAAUAUUGCACAAUGGGCGGAAGCCUGAUGCAGCAACGCCGCGUGAGGGAUGACGGCCUUCGGGUUGUAAACCUCUUUUAGCAGGGAAGAAGCGAAAGUGACGGUACCUGCAGAAAAAGCGCCGGCUAACUACGUGCCAGCAGCCGCGGUAAUACGUAGGGCGCAAGCGUUAUCCGGAAUUAUUGGGCGUAAAGAGCUCGUAGGCGGUUUGUCGCGUCUGCUGUGAAAUCCCGAGGCUCAACCUCGGGCCUGCAGUGGGUACGGGCAGACUAGAGUGCGGUAGGGGAGAUUGGAAUUCCUGGUGUAGCGGUGGAAUGCGCAGAUAUCAGGAGGAACACCGAUGGCGAAGGCAGAUCUCUGGGCCGUAACUGACGCUGAGGAGCGAAAGGGUGGGGAGCAAACAGGCUUAGAUACCCUGGUAGUCCACCCCGUAAACGUUGGGAACUAGUUGUGGGGUCCAUUCCACGGAUUCCGUGACGCAGCUAACGCAUUAAGUUCCCCGCCUGGGGAGUACGGCCGCAAGGCUAAAACUCAAAGGAAUUGACGGGGACCCGCACAAGCGGCGGAGCAUGCGGAUUAAUUCGAUGCAACGCGAAGAACCUUACCAAGGCUUGACAUAUACGAGAACGGGCCAGAAAUGGUCAACUCUUUGGACACUCGUAAACAGGUGGUGCAU
rnacentral:rRNA from 1 species